UUUAGAGGACGGAUUUGACUGAUUGCAACCUCAAUAAAAAAUGCUAAAG
rnacentral:ncRNA from 1 species